rnacentral:sRNA from 1 species
ACGGACACGGAUGUCAGUGAAACUAAACAGAAGCGAGAUUUGUGGAUACCACAAAUCUCGUCGUUCCCCAGUGUACAAGGAUGUACACUGGGGAACAAGC